CUGGCUCAGGACGAACGCUGGCGGCGUGCUUAACACAUGCAAGUCGAACGAUGAAGACCGGUGCUUGCACUGGUUGGAUUAGUGGCGAACGGGUGAGUAAUACGUGAGUAACCUGCCUUUAACUCUGGGAUAAGCCUUGGAAACGAGGUCUAAUACCGGAUACGACCAGUUCCCGCAUGGGAUGCUGGUGGAAAGGGUUUGUACUGGUUUUAGAUGGGCUCACGGCCUAUCAGCUUGUUGGUGAGGUAACGGCUCACCAAGGCGACGACGGGUAGCCGGCCUGAGAGGGUGACCGGCCACACUGGGACUGAGACACGGCCCAGACUCCUACGGGAGGCAGCAGUGGGGAAUAUUGCACAAUGGGCGCAAGCCUGAUGCAGCGACGCCGCGUGAGGGAUGAAUGCCUUCGGGUUGUAAACCUCUUUCAGCAG
rnacentral:rRNA from 1 species